UCCUUACAGGUGACCACUAGAUCCUGAUUGGCUGUGUGCAGGGAGGAAGUGCUCUGGGUCAACCUGGCUGGACUCAAAGGUUUAUGUGUGUGGGAAAAAAGGGUCUAAAGUUCACAGCAGUGUUCCCUGCAAGUCUCUAUCAGUUGGCUGAUGGGUCUGCGAU